AUUGAACGCUGGCGGCAGGCCUAACACAUGCAAGUCGAGCGUGAAAGUCCUUCGGGAUGAGUAAAGCGGCGGACGGGUGAGUAAUACGCAGGAAUCUACCUGAUAGUGGGGGAUAACGUUUCGAAAGGAACGCUAAUACCGCAUACGUUCUGAGGAAGAAAGCAGGGGCUCGUAAGACCUUGCGCUACCAGAUGAGCCUGCGUCCGCUUAGCUAGUUGGUGGGGUAAAGGCCUACCAAGGCGACGAUCGGUAACUGGUCUGAGAGGAUGAUCAGUCACACUGGAACUGAGACACGGUCCAGACUCCUACGGGAGGCAGCAGUGGGAAGUAUUGGACAAUGGGGGCAACCCUGAUCCAGCCAUGCCGCGUGUGUGAAGAAGGCCUUCGGGUUGUAAAGCGACUUUAAGACGGGGAGGGAAGGGCUCUAUGGCUAAUAUCCAUGGGAUU
rnacentral:rRNA from 1 species